rnacentral:rRNA from 1 species
AGUGAACGCUGGCGGCGUGCCUAAUACAUGCAAGUCGAACGGAGUGGCGCACGGGUGAGUAAUAUAUAGCUAAUCUGCCCCUUGCUGGAGGACAACAGUUAGAAAUGACUGCUAAUACUCCAUAGCAAGGGAUGAGACUAUAUAGUAUCAGCUAGUCGGUGGGGUAACGGCCUACCGAGGCUAUGACGCGUAACUGGUCUGAGAGGAUGAUCAGUCACAGUGGAACUGAGACACGGUCCCAACUGCUGCGGGUGGCAGCAGUAGUGAAUAGUGCGGAAUGGGGGAAACCCUGACGCAGCAACGCCGCUUGUAGGAUGACACUUUUCUGAGCGUAGAUUCCUUGUGGUAGGGAAUCGGUACCUUUCGAAUAAGCACCUGCUAACGCCGUGCUAGCAGCCGCGGUAAUUC